AACGAACGCUGGCGGCGUGCCUAAUACAUGCAAGUCGAGCGGAGUUUAUCCUUCGGGGUAAACUUAGCGGCGGACGGGUGAGUAACACGUAGGCAACCUGCCCGUAAGACUGGGAUAACUACCGGAAACGGUAGCUAAUACCGGAUAAAUUACUUUGCCGCAUGGCGAGGUAAUGAAAGGCGGAGCAAUCUGUCACUUACGGAUGGGCCUGCGGCGCAUUAGCUAGUUGGUGGGGUAAUGGCUCACCAAGGCGACGAUGCGUAGCCGACCUGGGAGGGUGAACGGCCACACUGGGACUGAGACACGGCCCAGACUCCUACGGGAGGCAGCAGUAGGGAAUCUUCCGCAAUGGACGAAAGUCUGACGGAGCAACGCCGCGUGAGUGAAGAAGGUUUUCGGAUCGUAAAGCUCUGUUGCCAGGGAAGAACGUCUUGUAGAGUAACUGCUAUGAGAGAGACGGUACCUGAGAAGAAAGCCCCGGCUAACUACGUGCCAGCCGCCGCAGUAA
rnacentral:rRNA from 1 species